CAGUCGCCACGGGAAUACGUAGGGUGCGAGCGUUAAUCGGAAUUACUGGGUGUAAAGCGUGCGCAGGCGGUUGUGUAAGACAGGUGUGAAAUCCCCGGGCUUAACCUGGGAACUGCGCUUGUGACUGCACAGCUAGAGUAUGGCAGAGGGGGGUGGAAUUCCACGUGUAGCAGUGAAAUGCGUAGAGAUGUGGAGGAACACCGAUGGCGAAGGCAGCCCCCUGGGCCAAUACUGACGCUCAUGCACGAAAGCGUGGGGAGCAAACAGGAUUAGAUACCCCCGUAGUCCCUGUCUCUUAUAC
rnacentral:rRNA from 1 species